rnacentral:rRNA from 1 species
UACGUAGGUGUCAAGCGUUGUCCGGAUUUAUUGGGCGUAAAGCGCCCGCAGGCGGCUUGCCAAGUUCGAUGUGAAAUCUCCCGGCUCAACUGGGAGGGUGCAUCGAAAACUGGCAGGCUUGAGGCAGGGAGAGGGAUGUGGAAUUCCAGGUGUAGUGGUGAAAUGCGUAGAUAUCUGGAGGAACACCGGUGGCGAAGGCGGCAUCCUGGACCAUAACUGACACUGAUAAGCGAAAGCCAGGGGAGCAAACGGG